rnacentral:rRNA from 1 species
GAUGAACGCUGACAGAAUGCUUAACACAUGCAAGUCUACUUGAAUUUGGGUUUUUAACUUAGGUUUGGGUGGCGGACGGGUGAGUAACGCGUAAAGAACUUGCCUCACAGCUAGGGACAACAUUUAGAAAUGAAUGCUAAUACCUAAUAUUAUGAUAAUAGGGCAUCCUAUAAUUAUGAAAGCUAUAUGCGCUGUGAGAGAGCUUUGCGUCCCAUUAGCUAGUUGGAGAGGUAACGGCUCACCAAGGCGAUGAUGGGUAGCCGGCCUGAGAGGGUGAUCGGCCACAAGGGGACUGAGACACGGCCCUUACUCCUACGGGAGGCAGCAGUGGGGAAUAUUGGACAAUGGACCGAGAGUCUGAUCCAGCAAUUCUGUGUGCACGAUGAAGUUUUUCGGAAUGUAAAGUGCUUUCAGUUGGGAAGAAAGAAAUGACGGUACCAACAGAAGAAGUGACGGCUAAAUACGUGCCAGCAGCCGCGGUAAUACGUAUGUCACGAGCGUUAUCCGGAUUUAUUGGGCGUAAAGCGCGUCUAGGUGGUUAUAUAAGUCUGAUGUGAAAAUGCAGGGCUCAACUCUGUAUUGCGUUGGAAACUGUAUAACUAGAGUACUGGAGAGGUAAGCGGAACUACAAGUGUAGAGGUGAGAUUCGUAGAUAUUUGUAGGAAUGCCGAUGGGGAAGCCAGCUUACUGGACAGAUACUGACGCUGAAGCGCGAAAGCGUGGGUAGCAAACAGG